rnacentral:rRNA from 1 species
CCUACGGGUGGCAGCAGUGGGGAAUAUUGGUCAAUGGGCGGAACCCUGAUCCAGCGACGCCGCGUGAGUGAAGAAGUUAUUCGGUAUGUAAAGCUCUUUCAGCAGGGAAGAAAAUGACGGUACGUGAGUAAGGAGCACCGUCUCACUACGUGCCAGCAGACGCGGUACUACGUAGGGGGCAAGCGUUAUCCGGAUUUACUGGGGGUAAAGGGGGCGUAGAGGGCAGUGAAAGUCUGGAGUGAAAGGCGGGGGCCCAACCCCCGGACUGCUCUGGAAACUGUACGGCUGGAGUGCAAGAGAGGUAAGUGGAAUUCCAAGUGUAGCGGUGAAAUGCGUAGAUAUUAGGAGGAACACCGGUGGCGAAGGCGGCUUACUGG